UCUAUUUCUUCUUUUAUUCUCUUCUUCUUCUUUCUCUUUCUUCUUUCCUUCUUCCCCUUCUUCUGUUCUUCAUCUUUGGUGAAUUCUUGUAAGAAUUCUGAGGUUGUGAGGUCGGGAUUAUUAGAAAAGAGUCAUGGGUUGUUGCUGGAGGUGGUGUUGUUCUUGGUAGCUGAUUCUGUUUUAGGGAAUCGAGAUAUUUCAGAGAGAACUGAAGAUUAGGGUUUUAAGAUUUGGUCUUGAGAUAUUUAUUGAAUUGAAUCGGUGUUUUGAGAUACUGAUGGAUGAAUAAUAAGAGGUUGAUGAUUGAUUGAAGUUGUAAGGUUGUUGAUGAUAUAAUCAAGAGUAAGGGUUUUAUAAAGGAAACUCAGCGAAGAUUCGAUAGAUGUGAUUGAUGUUCUAAGGAAGUGUUUAGAGAUGGGUUUUUGUAUUGAGAACAAGAAGAAGAGUUGGGUAUUCAAUUUAGGGAUUGAUUACAGAGAAGAAGUUUAAUUAAGAAUUGAAAGGUUAGGAUUUCAAAGGAUGUUUAGAGACGAUUUGAAGAAGAAAUUGGUUAUGGUUUUGAAAUUAAUUGUAUCCAAGGAGUCGGAGUUUGAAGAAUCGAUUCACACAAGAAGGUGAGCUGAUGUCAACUUGCUGGAAUUGAACUAUUUAAGGGGUUGGUACUUAUUAAGGAUGAAACAGAAACUGAGUUUUAGAAGUGGUGUUGACAUCAGUUAUACAGAACUGUGUUGGUUUUAGUGAACUGGACAAGGAAAUGGUAAUGGUGAUAGUUUCAGUGUGGCUGUUGGGUUGUUGUAUAGUGGCUGAGAAGAUGUUGAUGAAGAAUUUACUUGUUCUUUGUGUAUUUUGAGUGAUCUAGUGGUGCAGGAAUGGAUAAGUUAAACUACAUUUGGUGAUGAUGUUGCUGUGGUGAGGUCAUAGUGGUGAUGGAGCUGAACUAAUAGUGCAGGGGUUAGAGGUACUAGUAAAGCUGGUGGAGGAAAUUAUAGGUAAUAUGAAGAGAGUAUGAUCUCUACUGAAAUGCAAAUGGAGUAUUAAGGUUUAGUGUAAUAUUGCAUUGAGUUCCAAGUUGUAGUGGUAUUGUUGAAGCUGUAGGGGAUAUAAGUGGCUGGUGGAAGUUUAGGAACUGUUUUGAGAUAUGGAAUAGAGUUACAGUUACAACUUGUUGAGCUGAAUUGAUUGAUGAGUGCUGAACUUUGGAAGUGAUAACGGUGGAUAAGACAUUGUGGAUGUGAAGAAUGACUGUGGUUAGAAUGAGUGUAUGUGUUGAUGAGCAGCUUUGUAAUGGUGGUAUGUUAGAGUGGUGAUUGACUGAAUGUGCAAUGGUGGCGUCGAGUGUGGUUUUGAGUGAAGAGGAUUUGGAUAAUUGCGGCUACUGCAUUUGCAGGUAGGCUAAGCUUACAGUUGUAGUUAAAUUAUGAAGUUUAACUUAAAUUCUAUGUAUUAUUGUUGUAUUGAACUUUAGAAUCUCGUUAGAAUGAAUAGAAUCAGGUUGCAAG